AGUAAAAAAUUCUAUAAGCAUAUCCAAGUGAGAGAGGAAGAUUACAAAUCGUAUGAGAUUGGGCUUUGAUCACAUCUUUAUGUAUUUUAUAUAUUCAAAUUGUUUUGAUAUAUUAUUAUUUUUUUGAUUACAAAUUGUUUGAUGAAUUAUCUCUUCACAUAACUACGUAACAACCUUUAACUACUACUUUUUUCGUGAACUUUUUUUGUGAAUUCUGUCCCUCUCUCUCUCUCUUUCUCUCUAUGCUUCUCUAUGCUUCAAGUUUUAGUUGGAUAAAUUGUUGUUUGUUGGUGGAAUUGAUGUUUUUGUUUAUCAUCAUUUCUGUUUCUGGUUUAUUGUUUGGUGGUUGCCUACAGAUGAAAUUUUUUGUUUGAGCUUCUCACGAGGUUGUUUCUCUUUUUGAUUAUUUGUUUUUAUUGAUUGAUUAAUAACAUAUUUUGUGUAAGCUAAAUUUUUUUAUUAGUAGUUAGUAUAGAGUAUGUAUGUGUUCAAAUUGUGAGAUGGGUUUUUAUAUUUGGUUAAACAUUCUGGAGAGUAAUUGAGUAAUUGAGGGAAUUACUGACUUCUUUCAGUUAGCAAUGGUUUUAGUUCUGAGUUUUUGAAUUCUGCUUCGAAGCUCUCGCAGGUUUGAUGAUCUUCACAAUCUUCUCUUUGUUAUGUUUCUUUUUCAUUUUUUAUUUAUGUAGCUUUCAAUUUAUAUGGAUUGGUGUUUCUAAACCUUAAACUAAUAUGUAUUUGUUUCACUUUUUUGUGUUGUCAGGCAUGGGUCUUGACAUAGAUCUAUAUUCAGUAGCACACUCGAUUAAGUAGAAUUUGGGACCAUCACUUAACAAUGUCCUUUUAUUUCAUUUUUUAUUUUAUUUUAUAUCAUUUAAUUUUAAAUUUUAUUUAUGUUUCCAUUAUUUGCAAGUACAUUUUAGAAAGGAGCUUCAUGAAAUAUAAAAUUCAAUUCACUUACAGGUGAAGACUUUGAUUGUGAAAGUUGUUAUCUGUCAUACAAAAACUGUGCAUUUUGGAAAGGAGCUUCAUGAAAUAUAAAAUUCAGUUCACUUACAGGUGAGGAUUUUGAUUGUGAUAGUUGUUAUCUAUCAUACAAAAACUGGUAUGUAUAAUUGAUCUCUCCUCUCUUGCUGUAAUCAUUUGCUUCUGAUAUGGCAUAUUUAAGGAUCCCUCGAAUAAUCUACUUUAGUAAUUGCAAUUCCGUAUAAAGAUUUACCUUAUUCCCAUUACAUGUCGGUGGAACAUGAUGAAGUCCAGUCCCACUAAUCUCCUUGCAUGGCUUGAACACUUUGUGGGCUUGCGCCUGAAGCCUGAACUUUGGUGGUGCUUCUUAACGUUCAAGUUGUUAGCAAUUCAUGUUUCCCAAACUAUAGAUCAUUGUGAGAAGUGGUGCUGAAAUUAGUGUCGAAAUUCCUGCAUGGUCAACUGGUUGAACAAAAGAAGAGUUUGAUCCUAGAUCAAAAGUUGCAUGGAAACUGGCAUAAAGAUGGAAGGGCUCAUCAAGAGAUCAAAACAUUGAGAAAGUGACACCAUUUGCUAUGCUCUCACACGCUGCAACUGGAAUAAGAGGAUCAACAUUGGUUGUUUUGGGAAAUGAUGAGUAGAAACCGGUUCAAUGAGAGAAGAAUAGUUUUGGCCUCAGAGAGAGAGGAUGACUUAUUGAGAGAAUUCAUGAAAAGGCAAGGAAUUGGACAUUAGUUAAGAAUUGUAGGCAAG